UAUUGAUUGAUACAACAGUAGCUAAGAUGGGGAGAAGUCUAUCUAUGAUAAAGCGCUGCUCUACCUUCUUAACAACACUGUCAACAAGGCAGGUCCUACAGGCCCUAGUUUCUACCUUCUUAACAACACUAUCAACAAGGCAGGUCCUAUAGGCCCUAGUUUCUACCUUCUUAACAACACUAUCAACAAGGCAGGUCCUACAGGCACUAGUUUCUACCUUCUUAACAACACUGUCAACAAGGCAGGUCCUACAGGCCCUAGUUUCUACCUUCUUAACAACACUAUCAACAAGGCAGGUCCUAUAGGCCCUAGUUUCUACCUUCUUAACAACACUAUCAACAAGGCAGGUCCUAC
ensembl:lncRNA